rfam:Danio rerio chromosome 14 genomic contig CTG1748, GRCz11 reference primary assembly.
GUUGGCAGCUGGCUCUCUGCAAUUCUCACAUGGUCCCCCUCUGAAGCUAAGCAGGGCUGCACCUGGUCGGUACCUGGAUGAGAGACCACAUGGGAAAGCUUGGUUGCCGCCGGAA